GACGAACGCUGGCGGCGUGCUUAACACAUGCAAGUCGAACGAAGUGGCGAACGGGUGAGUAACGCGUAAUCAACCUGCCCUUCAGAGGGGGACAACAGUCGGAAACGACUGCUACUACCGCAUACUGAAGGAGGGGAUUGCGUCUGAUUAGCUAGUUGGAGGGGUAACGGCCCACCAAGGCGAGUAUCAGGAGCCGGGCUGAGAGGAUGAACGGCCACAUGGGGACUGAGACACGGCCCAGACGCCUACGGGAGGCAGGAGUGGGGAAUCUUCCGAAAUGGACGAAAGUCUGACGGAGCAACGCCGCGUGAGUGAUGACGGCCUUCGGGUUGUAAAGCUCUGUUAAUCGGGACGCGGUACCGGAAUAGAAAGCCACGGCUAACUACGUGCCAGCAGCCGCGGUAAUUC
rnacentral:rRNA from 1 species